UACAGAGGUCUCAAGCGUUGUUCGGAUUCAUUGGGCGUAAAGGGUGCGUAGGCGGCCGCCUAAGUCAGACGUGAAAUCCCUCGGCUCAACCGGGGAACUGCGUCUGAUACUGGGUGGCUUGAAUCCGGGAGAGGGAUGCGGAAUUCCCGGUGUAGCGGUGAAAUGCGCAGAUAUCGGGAGGAACACCGGUGGCGAAGGCGGUUCUCUGGGCCUUACCUGACGGCUGAGGAGCGAAAGCGUGGGGAGCGAACAGG
rnacentral:rRNA from 1 species